GCACUGUAUUUUUCCCUCUGAGAUUUGCUCGCAGCUGAAGUCUCGUUCUGUUUGCGUACAAUCUCGCGAUACUUGGACAUGCCACCAGCUCCCAGCAAGCGACCACAAACCCGCUCCGCCAGGAAAGAUGGCGAGGAUGAUAGCGGAGCUACCUGGGCUAACUGAAGGCUGGAGGUCUUGGUUUGGCACUGGAGACCCCCCACCCCUUCUUCAAGGACAGGGAGCCUCCUGAGAAGUAGGCUACACCUUUUUCAGAGGACCUGCUACCUCUUCUUCCAUCUCUAUUCUUUUAAUCCUGUCACACACACACACAGGCCUAAAGUUGUCAGUGAUCUGGACUCUGGAGGAGGACGGGGGAGGGAGAGGGGGAGAGAGGAAGGGGAGGGGGGGCUGUGGGAUGAGGUAGUAGUUUGUAUAGUUUUAGGAUCACACCAGAUCUGGGAGAUAACUAUACAGCCUACUGUCUUUCUCACGGCGUCCACACCAUCACCUAACACGACGGGGACCGCCUGACGCUUCCAAGUCUAGUUGCCACGGCGACUGGAGCAUCUGUUGCCGCCGGCGACCAACACACGAUCAGUAAAUUUGCAUCUUGAAUUCUGGGUUCGUUUCACUGGUUGUAGUCUGUGUCUUGCUGUCCUACCGUGUCCCCUGGCUGGUGAACAAUUAGAGAUAACACCUGUCUUAUUAGUAAUCUGACUGAUAAUCAUAUUUAGCUUCAGUUUCUCUGUGUUUAAGGACGAGUUUUUUUAGCAAACAUGCAAAAAAAGCACUAAAACCAUACACACAAUCCCUGUCUGAUUAAAUUAAAAUACAAACUUACUGAAGGAUGGAACAGAUUUUGACUCUGCCCUCACACUGUGACAACAAAUCUGCAGGAAGUGUUCAUUUUGGGAUUGUUUCAUGGUGCGUCAGGGCAGACGUGUUUGUAGCUGUGCUGUGGUGAGGUAGUAAGUUGUGUUGUUGUGGGGUGUGUGAUAUUUCAGCCCCUGUUUUGGAGAUACAACUAUACAACUUACUGCCUUCCACAAUGUGGCAGCGUGAUGCACUUGUGUUCCAGCUGCUGAGGUGUGUUCAGAUGUGUUUUUGCCCAGGGUUUAGAUAUGCUAGUAAGUAGUUAGAUGUGUGCUUUGCUGAUAUUUAUUUUUGUAUUUUAGCUUAAUGAAAUUUUGAUUGACAGAAAUUCAUAGCUAUAGCUGUGCAGGUGCAUGAAUAAACAUUUACCUCUGCUACCUCAUAGUGCAGAGCUGCAACAGCUAGACUGUGGAAUUUUCUGACUUUUUAUGGACAAAUUACUAAUCAAUUAAAAUAAUUGUCAGUUGCAGGACUUUUUAGUGUGUAAUAAUCCAUUCAUUAAAUCUCUCUAUACUGUUAUUUUCAGUGUAUAAUUUGCUGAUUUUAUACCGUGUGGGCUGUAAAAUGUCAGAAAAAGGUGAAAAGUGCUGAUCACCACAGUCCAAAACCCAAAGAGAUUUUAAAAGAGAAAAUCUACAGUUCUUCACACUGGGGAAGCUGCUACCAGAGAACACCUGGAGUCUCUGCUUAAACAAUGACUGAUACAAUUAACUGACUGAACAGCUGAUUGUUAAGUUGACUAAAAGAUAAACUGACUAAUGUUUGCAGUUCUAAAAUAAAUACCUUUAUUUUUUUAGGAAAACUGGACUAAAAGAUAAACUGGUUCACUGUAAAAAUAAACUGAUUAAUUCAUUAUUAAAUUAAAUGCACCAAUGCUUUAUAUUUUCCUGAUUUGUGCUGAAAUGCUGGUUUAUUUUAAUGUUAUAAUUAUAGAUUCUUUUUUUUUUCUUAUAAAUGCUUUAUUUUUGCAUGCACAUUAUAAGAAUAAAGGAUAUAUUUCUGUUA